CACACAAAAAGAAAAGAAAACCCUUUGUAUAUCCAGUUAGCUUUGAUUUUGGGGAAGUAUUUUCUCUUCGAGCUGGAUAAAUCAUGGUUUUCCAUAGGAAGCUACAAGCUAUGUUAUCACUUAGCCUCUACAAAGCCUUUGAUGUAUUUUUCGAUUCGUGACCAUCCGUUUGAUGUUCUUUGGUCGAAAAAAUUGAAUCGGUUGCAGAUACAUUCACAUUUCAUUUUUGGACCUGACAAUUUCCUUCCACCUGGAAUCAAAUGGUGUACCUGCCACUUUCUCCUUGAACUAAAAUAAUUUCAAAGGUGUUGAGAACUAAAUACUAAUUGAGAAGGGAAUGUGGAAAAGGUUGAAGCACAAAUUGAAGUGCAAGAACAUUUUUUUUUUCUGAGGAUUCUUAAAAAAUGUUUCCAUUUGUCCGUUCACUACAAUUGUGUUCUGUUUUUUAGGAGAUGUAAUAUGAAUAUAUUUUAGGUAUUGUAAUGUUUUACUUAUUUCUAAUUAACAAUGAUGUUUUAUGGGUAUUGACUAUUAUUUAUGUUCGA